GUCCAGACUCCUACGGGAGGCAGCAGUGAGGAAUAUUGGUCAAUGGGCGGAAGCCUGAACCAGCCAAGUCGCGUGAGGGAAGAAGGCCCUGCGGGUCGCAGACCUCUUUGGACGGGGAGCAAGGCCGCCGACGUGUCGGCGGAAGGAGAGUACCCGUAGAACAAGCAUCGGCUAACUACGUGCCAGCAGCCGCGGUAAUACGUAGGUGGCGAGCGUUAUCCGGAAUGAUUGGGCGUAAAGGGUGCGUAGGCGGUCGAUUAAGUCUGGAGUGAAAGGUACCGGCUCAACCGGUAUAGGCUCCGGAAACUGAUGGACUGGAGUACAGGAGAGGGUGGCGGAUCUCCAUGUGUAGCGGUAAAAUGCGUAGAUAUAUGGAAGAACACCGGUGGCGAAGGCGGCCGCCCGGACUGUAACUGACGCUGAGGCGCGAAAGCGUGGGGAGCAAAUAGGAUUAGAUACCCCCGUAC
rnacentral:rRNA from 1 species